rnacentral:rRNA from 1 species
GAUGAACGCUGGCGGCGUGCCUAACACAUGCAAGUCGAACGGAGAUUACGGACGGAAGUUUUCGGAUGGAAGACUGUAAUUCUUAGUGGCGGACGGGUGAGUAACGCGUGGGCAACCUGCCCUAUACAGGGGGAUAGCAGCUGGAAACGGCUGGUAAGACCGCAUAAGUCGGCGAGACCGCAUGGUUUUGCCGGGAAAUGAGCAAUCAGGUAUAGGAUGGGCCCGCGUCCGAUUAGCCAGUUGGCAGGGUAAAAGCCUACCAAAGCAACGAUCGGUAGCCGGACUGAGAGGUCGGACGGCCACAUUGGGACUGAGACUCGGCCCAAACUCCUACGGGAGGCAGCAGUGGGGGAUAUUGCACAAUGGAGGAAACUCUGAUGCAGCGACGCCGCGUGAGUGAAGAAGUAUUUCGGUAUGUAAAGCUCUAUCAGCAGGGAAGAUGAUGACGGUACCUGACUAAGAAGCCCCGGCUAACUACGUG